rnacentral:piRNA from 1 species
GAAGCUUGUUUGGCUAGUGAAGCUGUA